AAUCAACGCUGGCGGCGUGCCUAACACAUGCAAGUCGAACGGGAAAGCGGGCUUCGGCCUGUGAGUAGAGUGGCGGACGGGUGAGUAACACGUGGGUAACCUGCCCGGCUGAGGGGGAUAACUUUCCGAAAGGGGAGCUAAUACCGCAUAAGCUCUCGGGAGCGAUUUCGAGAGGAAAGCCGCAAGGCGCAGUCGGAGGGGCUCGCGCUCGAUUAGCUAGUUGGUGGGGUAAGGGCUCACCAAGGCGACGAUCGAUAGCCGGUCUGAGAGGACGGACGGCCACACUGGAACUGAGACACGGUCCAGACUCCUACGGGAGGCAGCAGUCGAGAAUAGUCUACAAUGGUCGGAAGACUGAUAGUGCGACGCCGCGUGAACGAUGAAUCCCUUCGGGGUUAAAGUUCUUUUAUAUGUGAGCAGUGCUUCUUAUAUUAACGUAUGGGGAAGAGAUAUUAGCAUAUGAAUAGCAACGGCUAACUCCGUGCC
rnacentral:rRNA from 1 species